AUUAAAUUUUAUUUAUUUAUAUUUUUUUUGUAUAAAAUUGAAUAUUAAAAAUAAUUAUAAAUUUUUUUGUUUUAGUAUUGGAUAAAGAAAAAAUAAUAUUUAUUAUAGUUUAGUAGUAUUGUAAAAGAAAAUUGAAAUAUUUUGAAAA
rnacentral:rRNA from 1 species